CCUAGGUAACUCCACCAACAAACCACCUGACAUAACUCAACAGAAUACACCCUGUGCCUGCGGAUUGACCAGCAAAAACUUUCAUGUCCCGUGUUGGAGGUGGGGCGAUAACAAUAGCAAUAGCAAUCUGAUGACACCUCACUGCUCAGAGCUAGUCCGCUCACUAUCCCCACUCCUAACACCAAAACAAGCACAAGCCACAACCUGUAGCAAAAGAACACGAGGUGAUAACACCAAUCAACCCUCGAACCUACCAGCUCGAUAACCCCGAGACUAAAUCUCGUAUACCCCGCGCUCGUACGUGCCUACGAUUUUAUGGUCAUCCUAUGGUCAAC
rnacentral:lncRNA from 1 species